GACAGAGGGUGCAAACGUUGUUCGGAAUUACUGGGCGUAAAGCGCGUGUAGGCUGCUCGGAAAGUCGGAUGUGAAAGCCCUGGGCUCAACCUAGGAAGUGCAUUCGAAACUUCCGAGCUGGAGUGCUGGAGAGGAAGGCGGAAUUCUCGGUGUAGAGGUGAAAUUCGUAGAUAUCGAGAGGAACACCGGUGGCGAAGGCGGCCUUCUGGACAGUAACUGACGCUGGAGAACGCGAAAGCGUGGGGAGCAAACAGG
rnacentral:rRNA from 1 species